rnacentral:rRNA from 1 species
AUGGCCUUGUAUGACCAAUUCAAGACACCAUGCCAAGUUGUUUGGAUUUUCAACAAGUUCUACAUUUUCUGGAGUUUUCCCGAUGAAAAAAGACCGAUAAAUGAUCAGGCGUGUCGGAAGUUGCAUGCGGUGUCAGAAAUCAUUCAAACCUAUCACUGGUGCCUACCAUGGGCAAUGCCCACCUUCCUGCAAAAGUUGGGGGUCAUUUCAAGAAUGUCCAAAACUAGACCAUGUUCAAUGAAGGGUGUUCGGUUGCCAGAAGGAUUCAUCAAUUUAGAAACAAAAUCUUUAUUCAUCUUGAGAAAUCAUUCAUCCUGA